AUUAUUUGAGGUGGAAAUUUCGUGUCGCCACGCGCCACAUGCUUUCGGGCAAUGGGCAAAAGAAAUGCAGGGGAAUGGCACGCCUGCCAAAUAAC
ncrna:unclassified sequences skipping-rope RNA